rnacentral:rRNA from 1 species
UGCCCUAGUAACGGCGAGUGAAGCGGCAACAGCUCAAAUUUGAAAUCUGGCUCUCGGGCCCGAGUUGUAAUUUGUAGAGGAUACUUUUGAUGCGGUGCCUUCCGAGUUCCCUGGAACGGGACGCCAUAGAGGGUGAGAGCCCCGUCUGGUUGGAUGCCAAAUCUCUGUAAAGUUCCUUCAACGAGUCGAGUAGUUUGGGAAUGCUGCUCUAAAUGGGAGGUAUAUGUCUUCUAAAGCUAAAUACCGGCCAGAGACCGAUAGCGCACAAGUAGAGUGAUCGAAAGAUGAAAAGCACUUUGAAAAGAGAGUUAAAAAGUACGUGAAAUUGUUGAAAGGGAAGCGUUUAUGACCAGACUUGGGCUUGGUUAAUCAUCUGGGGUUCUCCCCAGUGCACUUUUCCAGUCCAGGCCAGCAUCAGUUUUCCCCGGGGGAUAAAGGCGGCGGGAAUGUGGCUCUCUUCGGGGAGUGUUAUAGCCCACCGUGUAAUACCCUGGGGGGGACUGAGGUUCGCGCAUCUGCAAGGAUGCUGGCGUAAUGGUCAUCAACGACCCGUCUUGAAACACGGACCAAGGAGUCGUCUUCGUAUGCGAGUGUUCGGGUGUCAAACCCCUACGCGUAAUGAAAGUGAACGCAGGUGAGAGCUUCGGCGCAUCAUCGACCGAUCCUGAUGUUCUCGGAUGGAUUUGAGUAAGAGCAUACGGGGCCGGACCCGAAAGAAGGUGAACUAUGCCUGUAUAGGGUGAAGCCAGAGGAAACUCUGGUGGAGGCUCGCAGCGGUUCUGACGUGCAAAUCGAUCGUCAAAUAUG